UACGGGGGGGGCAAGCGUUGUUCGGAAUUACUGGGCGUAAAGGGCGCGUAGGCGGCCUUCUAAGUCGGGUGUGAAAGCCCCGGGCUCAACCUGGGAAUUGCAUUCGAUACUGGAUAGCUAGAGUUCGGCAGAGGGAAGCGGAAUUUCCGGUGUAGCGGUGAAAUGCGUAGAUAUCGGAAGGAACAUCAGUGGCGAAAGCGGCUUCCUGGACCAGAACUGACGAUCAGGCUCGAAAGCUAGGGUAGCAAACGGGG
rnacentral:rRNA from 1 species